GAUGAACGCUGGCGGCGUGCCUAAUACAUGCAAGUCGAGCGAACGGACGAGAAGCUUGCUUCUCUGAUGUUAGCGGCGGACGGGUGAGUAACACGUGGAUAACCUACCUAUAAGACUGGGAUAACUUCGGGAAACCGGAGCUAAUACCGGAUAAUAUUUUGAACCGCAUGGUUCAAAAGUGGAAGACGGUCUUGCUGUCACUUAUAGAUGGAUCCGCGCCGCAUUAGCUAGUUGGUAAGGUAACGGCUUACCAAGGCAACGAUGCAUAGCCGACCUGAGAGGGUGAUCGGCCACACUGGAACUGAGACACGGUCCAGACUCCUACGGGAGGCAGCAGUAGGGAAUCUUCCGCAAUGGGCGAAAGCCUGACGGAGCAACGCCGCGUGAGUGAUGAAGGUCUUCGGAUCGUAAAACUCUGUUAUUAGGGAAGAACAUAUGUGUAAGUAACUGUGCACAUCUUGACGGUACCUAAUCAGAAAGCCACGGCUAACUACGUG
rnacentral:rRNA from 1 species